rnacentral:lncRNA from 1 species
GGCUAUACAGAGAGACCCUGUCUCAAAAAACCAAAAAAAAAAAAAAAAAAAAAAAAAAGAAAGAAAAAAAAGUUGAAUGAAUUUUUUAUGGAUUAUUUGAUUCUCAAAAUACUCAAUAUUAUUAAUAUGCUUGAUGUAUAAAAUGCAUUUAAAUAAUAAGAAAAUUUAAGAAGAAAAAAAUUUAAAAAAAUAUUUUGACCAUUUCUUUAAAAAAAAAAAAAGCCACCUCUGUCCAAGUGGCAUUCUUUUACUGGUAAUGUUUUACUCUCUGGAUGUUUCUUCAGACAGCAACCAAAUUACAAUUUAUGUACAGUAAACCGCCUCUCUAGAAGGUGUACAAGCUGGUGUACUUUGACUAUCUUCAUCUGGGACACUGGAACAUCACAACUAAGCCACUGAGCAUGCGCUCCUUAGACCCCGCUCCUUCAUGAGGUUCCUGAUUUGCUUUUUGUCACAAAAAUAAAUGAGUUUGUACUUUAGAAAAUUCUGCAUAAAUAUAAUUACAAAGUAUGUUCUUUAUAUCUGGAUUCCUUCACUCAAAUGAACAAUCAUUUGAGAUUCGUGUAAUCUAUUACAGGAAUCGAUUGUUUGUUCAUUUGAAUACUGAGUCGCAUCCCACUGUGUACACAUGCCACAAUUUAUUGUUCAGGUUGUUUCCAGUUUGGACUGUUACAGUAAAAGUUGCUAAAACC